GGAAGACCAAGGGUUCCUGUCCAACGUUAAUCGGGGCAGGGUGAGUCGACCCCUAAGGCGAGGCCGAAAGGCGUAGUCGAUGGGAAACAGGUUAAUAUUCCUGUACUUGGUGUUACUGCGAAGGGGGGACGGAGAAGGCUAUGUUGGCCGGGCGACGGUUGUCCCGGUUUAAGCGUGUAGGCUGGUUUUCCAGGCAAAUCCGGAAAAUCAAGGCUGAGGCGUGAUGACGAGGCACUACGGUGCUGAAGCAACAAAUGCCCUGCUUCCAGGAAAAGCCUCUAAGCAUCAGGUAACAUCAAAUCGUACCCCAAACCGACACAGGUGGUCAGGUAGAGAAUACCAAGGCGCUUGAGAGAACUCGGGUGAAGGAACUAGGCAAAAUGGUGCCGUAACUUCGGGAGAAGGCACGCUGAUAUGUAGGUGAAGUCCCUCGCGGAUGGAGCUGAAAUCAGUCGAAGAUACCAGCUGGCUGCAACUGUUUAUUAAAAACACAGCACUGUGCAAACACGAAAGUGGACGUAUACGGUGUGACGCCUGCCCGGUGCCGGAAGGUUAAUUGAUGGGGUUAGCGCAAGCGAAGCUCUUGAUCGAAGCC
rnacentral:rRNA from 1 species